AAUCAAAGGAGCCACAUUCCUAAGCACAUUUAAGUGGAAAAGCCUUCCAAUUCAACAGAACAUUAAAAACUGCAAAACAAUGAAAUUUUAGGAAGAAAAAGAGAGAGUGAAAUGUUGACGCUAACAACCCUCAACCAGAAUGUGCUUCAUUUGGGUAGGCUAUGAAAGGGUAUAAAAUCACAUUCUAAAACUUUUAAGAAUCCAAAACUAAAAUAAAAGAAACAGUAGACAGCAAAAACUUGAGAAACUUAAUGUUUAUGCUGCACCAGCACCCUUGCCCUUCUUCCUCUGGAGCUUCUUCAUAUAGACCUCCAGCUCCUUACCUUCCAAUAUGUACC
rnacentral:misc_RNA from 1 species